rnacentral:rRNA from 1 species
UACGGGGGGAGCAAGCGUUGUUCGGAUUUACUGGGCGUAAAGGGCGCGUAGGCGGCCGAUCAAGUCGGGGGUGAAAGCCUGUGGCUUAACCACAGAAUGGCCUUCGAUACUGUUUGGCUUGAGACCGGAAGAGGUUAGUGGAACUGCGAGUGUAGAGGUGAAAUUCGUAGAUAUUCGCAAGAACACCAGUGGCGAAGGCGGCUGACUGGUCCGGUUCUGACGCUGAGGCGCGAAAGCGUGGGGAGCAAACAGG